rnacentral:lncRNA from 13 species
CAAUGUGCUGGGUCCUCCUUUUCCAGUAGUUACAGGAAAACCACAAACAGUUCUCUUAGCCUGUCUAUCAGCUUUUUAAAGGUGUAGUUCUUUCUCCACUCCUAAUAAAUAUUCUCCUCAGGAAUGUGACUGUAUUGUUUGCAGCUCUAUUUCUGGUCCAUCUCUCUUUCUGAGGCACAUGGGCACCUGUGAGCACUGCACAUCCAGGCCCAGACAUCUAUCAAAAUCUUUUCAGAGACUGUCACUGCCUCCAAGGUCUGUUCACUGUUCUGGGGAAUUAGCUUAUACUCACAGCUAGAACUAAUCCUGCCAAAUUCUUCAAGGAAUUCAGAGCUCCACAAGUUUAGCCCUCUAAUCUCUGCACACCAACAUGCUAUGUGCAACCAAAUUGUGUGCACAAUUUUACAGUAUAUUCCAUCUGAUUGCUUCUUCUUGAGUUGCUUUGCUGUCCUCCGCUUUUAUAAGGAUGCUUUGAUCUGUGGUUUUAGUUCAUAAAGAGCCUUCCUGAUGACAGACACAAAGUGGAGAAAAGUAUAGCCAAAAUAUGGAGAGACUCGUCUUUUUGAAGGCAUUGAUUGAGCUGCUAGAUCCAUCCACACUUGAAGGUAGAUGCAUCUCUGGACUUCCUUGACCUGUGACAUGAUUUGAAUAUGAUUUAUCUCUCAGCAGCUGAAAAAAGUAGUGAUUUGAUUUGCCUUGAGAAUGAUCCAUGUGCUGAGGAAAAGAAUGUGAAUGCCGUCCCUCUUAAAUGAAGUGUUCUGCAGGAUCUCACUCUGUCACCCAGGCUGGAGUGCAGUGAUGGACCCACUGCAGGUUUUGCCUCCCAGGCUCAACCUAUCCUCUUGCUUAGACUCAGGAGUAUCUGGGAGUGACUACCGGUGCACACUAUCACACCUGGCUAAAUUUUUAUAUUUGUUAUAUUUGUUAUAGAGAUAGGAUUUCAACAAGUUGCUCGAGCUGGUCUUGAACUCCUGAGCAGAGUUCACAAUCUUAAUACCCUGAAAUUUUGGUGUGACCAGUACAGUUAAUAAAACAAGUUUAUACUGAAAAGAGUCCCA